ensembl:miRNA MIR3657 microRNA 3657
UGUGUCCCAUAAUUAAAUAAUGAAAUCUGAAAUCACCAAUAAUGGGACACUAAUGUGAUUAAUGUUGUUGUGUCCCAUUAUUGGUGAUUUCAGAUUUCAUAUAUGAUUAAGGACAUA